rnacentral:tRNA from 1 species
GCCCCUAUAGCUGGAAGGUCUAGCAGACGCCUUGUAAGCGUCAGACCCGAGUUCGAUUCUCGGUGGGGGCA